rnacentral:tRNA from 1 species
AUUUAUAUAGUUUAAUAAAACCUUACAUUUUCACUGUAAAAAUGAAAAAAAUUUUCUAUAAAUA